AAGUGGAGCAAUCCAUGAGUAAAGUGGCGACCGGGUGAGUAACACGUGACUACCUGCCCUUGAGUGGGGGAUAACCUCGGGAAACCGAGGCUAAUACCGCAUAAUAUCGCAAGAUCAAAGGAGCAAUCCGCUUUUGGAGGGGGUCGCGGCUGAUUAGCUAGUUGGUAAGGUAACGGCUUACCAAGGCGACGAUCGGUAUCCGGCCUGAGAGGGCGCACGGACACACUGGAACUGAAACACGGUCCAGACUCCUACGGGAGGCAGCAGUGGGGAAUUUUGCGCAAUGGGGGAAACCCUGACGCAGCAACGCCGCGUGGAGGAUGAAGCCCCUUGGG
rnacentral:rRNA from 1 species